GGUUGAUCCUGCCAGUAGUCAUAUGCUUGUGUUAAAGAUUAAGCCAUGCAUGUCUAAGUAUAAACUUAUAUAUGGUGAAACUGCGGACGGCUCCAUAGAUCAGUUAUUGUUCGUUAGGUAAUAAAAAUUACUUGGAUAACCCUGCUAAUUGUAGAGCUAAUACAUGAAAAAACGAUUUAAUUUAGGUAACUAAAGAGAAUCGCACUUGUCUUACAAAUACAAAAAAGUCUUAAGGAAUUUAAUUAUACUCAAUGUGAUAGGGGAUGACCUUGAAUGGAAUAUAUAGCAGAUAA
rnacentral:rRNA from 1 species